rnacentral:rRNA from 1 species
GACGAACGCUGGCGGCGUGCCUAAUACAUGCAAGUCGAACGCUUCUUUCCUCCCGAGUGCUUGCACUCAAUUGGAGAGAGGAGUGGCGGACGGGUGAGUAACACGUGGGUAACCUACCCAUCAGAGGGGGAUAACACUUGGAAACAGGUGCUAAUACCGCAUAACAGUUUAUGCCGCAUGGCAUAAGAGUGAAAGGCGCUUUCGGGUGUCGUUGAUGGAUGGACCCGCGGUGCAUUAGCUAGUUGGUGAGGUAACGGCUCACCAAGGCCACGAUGCAUAGCCGACCUGAGAGGGUGAUCGGCCACACUGGGACUGAGACACGGCCCAGACUCCUACGGGAGGCAGCAGUAGGGAAUCUUCGGCAAUGGACGAAAGUCUGACCGAGCAACGCCGCGUGAGUGAAGAAGGUUUUCGGAUCGUAAAACUCUGUUGUUAGAGAAGAACAAGGACGUUAGUAACUGAACGUCCCCUGACGGUAUCUAACCAGAAAGCCACGGCUAACUACGUG